UCCACGUUAAUGGAGCUCAUCAAGUGGCCCUCUCACUCGGAGAAUCCAGCGGUGACUUACGUCCUCUGUCCCCUAGGCGCUGACCUUUGAUGAAUAAUAAUUAUGUAGUAACGAAUAAGUCUAUUUUGACCGCACCUCCAGUUGUGUUUAUCUAAUUUCUGCCUCUAACUUCAUAAAUAUCAAGCUAUCGGAACCAGCUAAUAAUUUAAGUGGCUAUUCGGCUGAUUGAACGACAGUUGUUUCCUUAUCUUUUAAACAUAAUAUCCACCAUUUAACUUCUAUCUUACUAUAUUUCUCUACAUAAUAUCGCCAUUGUUAACAACUUAAGCAGCAUGGCAACAUGGGGGUGCUUUCCUUCCUCCGUAUUUUCCUCUCCCUCCUUCUCUUCUUCCUCCUCCCUCUUUUCUUCCUCGUCUCCUUGAUCAGGG
rnacentral:lncRNA from 1 species